CCUACGGGUGGCAGCAGUGGGGAAUAUUGCACAAUGGGGGAAACCCUGAUGCAGCGACGCCGCGUGAGUGAAGAAGUAAUUCGUUACGUAAAGCUCUAUCAGCAGGGAAGAAAAUGACGGUACCUGAGUAAGAAGCCCCUGCUAACUACGUGCCAGCAGCCGCGGUAAUACGUAGGGGGCAAGCGUUAUCCGGAUUUACUGGGUGUAAAGGGAGCGUAGACGGUGCGCCAAGUCUGGAGUGAAAUGCCGCAGCUUAACUACGGAACUGCUUUGGAAACUGGCGAACGAGAGUGCGGGAGGGGUAAGCGGAAUUCCUAGUGGAGCGGUGGAAUGCGUAGAUAUUAGGAGGAACAUCAGGGGCGAAGGCGACUUACUGGACUGUAACUGACACUGAGGCACGAAAGCGUGGGGAGCAAACAGGAUUAGAUACCCCUGUAGUC
rnacentral:rRNA from 1 species